rnacentral:rRNA from 1 species
GACGAACGCUGGCGGCGUGCUUAACACAUGCAAGUCGAACGGAAAGGCCCUGCUUUUGUGGGGUGCUCGAGUGGCGAACGGGUGAGUAACACGUGAGUAACCUGCCCUUGACUUUGGGAUAACUUCAGGAAACUGGGGCUAAUACCGGAUAGGAGCUCCUGCUGCAUGGUGGGGGUUGGAAAGUUUCGGCGGUUGGGGAUGGACUCGCGGCUUAUCAGCUUGUUGGUGGGGUAGUGGCUUACCAAGGCUUUGACGGGUAGCCGGCCUGAGAGGGUGACCGGCCACAUUGGGACUGAGAGACGGCCCAGACUCCUACGGGAGGCAGCAGUGGGGAAUAUUGCACAGUGGGCGGGAGCCUGAUGCAGCGACGCCGCGUGCGGGAUGACGGCCUUCGGGUUGUGAACCGCUUUCGCCUGUGACGAAGCGUGAGUGACGGUAAUGGGUAAAGAAGCACCGGCUAACUACGUG